UCAGCGUUGGUUUGGUUGUGUGCCCGGG
rnacentral:sRNA from 1 species